CCAUUAUCGCUACGAACUAUUUUCACAAAAGCAUUAAAUUGUCUUUCCACCAUAACCAAGAAAUUGCAAAUGAUUCGUCCCACAUCUGAUUUGUUAUUUACCAAAUAAACCCACAAUCCUCUCGAAAAAUCAUCCACAAUAGUCAGAAAAUAAUAAGCACCACAAAAAGUUGGCGUCCUAUAUGGACCCCAUAAAUCACAAUGAAUCAUUUCCAGAACAGCAAAAGCUUUAUUAUUACUAUAAAUAAAUUCAUUACGACAUUGUUUUGCACGUAAACAAACAUCACAAUUCUUGGGAUAUGCCUUAUUUUUCGUAGUAUCAACCAUUGGCAACAAUUUAAUAACUUUUUCAGAAGGGUGGCCCAACCUCUGAUGCCAAAGAUCAACUGUCCCUUUUGCAACAGUCUGCAAUGCUCUUGUAGAUUCAAUUUCUCGGAAGUAGUAGAGCCCCCCGCAUUGUUCACCCGCACCAAUCAGCAUCCUCGAAGUGCGGUCCUGUAUAACACAAAAUUUAUUAGUGAACUGGACAAUACAAUUUGAUUCUUCGACCAAUUGCGACACUAAAAUCAGAUUACAAUUCAAACUAGGCACAUAUAACACAUUGGUUAAUUUUAGACGUCCAUCAAGGACAAUGUUCCCUUUCUUCUCUGCCAUUACUUCUUUCCCAUCUGGUAGACCAACUGGGCAUGUGAUUACAGUCUUCACGUCACAUAGCAAUUUGAGGCUCCCUGUCAUAUGAUGAGAGGCUCCGGUAUCAAUUAUCCAAGCUCUCAUAUUAUACUUACCAUUUUUGGGGGGUUCCGACACAUGAGGUUUGAUGAAUUAUCCCACGGGUAGCAAAAAAUCUAUCUAAGCAAGUGAACUCAGUGCCAUUAUCGCUACGAACUAUUUUCACAAAAGCAUUAAAUUGUCUUUCCACCAUAACCAAGAAAUUGCAAAUGAUUCGUCCCACAUCUGAUUUGUUAUUUACCAAAUAAACCCACAAUCCUCUCGAAAAAUCAUCCACAAUAGUCAGAAAAUAAUAAGCACCACAAAAAGUUGGCGUCCUAUAUGGACCCCAUAAAUCACAGUGAAUCAUUUCCAGAAUAGCAGAAGCUUUAUUAUUACUAGAAAUAAAUUUAUUACGACAUUGUUUUGCACGUAAACAAACAUCACAAUUCUUGGGAUAUGCCUUAUUUUUCGUAGUAUCAACCAUUGGCAACAAUUUAAUAACUUUUUCAGAAGGGUGGCCCAACCUCUGAUGCCAAAGAUCAACUGUCCCUUUUGCAACAGUCUGCA
rnacentral:lncRNA from 1 species